rnacentral:lncRNA from 1 species
UCCUAUUCUGGAUUCAACAUUGCUAGAGAACCCUCAAAACAACUUGGAGUCCGCACAAAUUUAUUAACAGUGGAAGAGAUUCCUGGCCUGAACACCAAUGGCCUCUCCAUAGCUCGUAUAGACUUCACUCCAGGCGGUGUAAACCCACCUCACAGCCAUCCUCGAGCUGCGGAGGUCAUGACUGUCAUAGAAGGAGCUCUAUAUGCAGGUUUUAUCACUUCGAAUCCGUGUCACCGUCUUUUCGCCAAGGUUUUUAAGCCAGGAGAUGUUUUUGUAUUCCCAUUUGGGCUCAUUCACUUCCAAAUGAAUAUUGGGAAAACCCCUGCAGUUGCUAUAGCUGCAUUGAACAGUCAGAAUCCAGGAGAAAUGACCUUGGCAAAUGCAGUAUUUGGUGCAGUUCCAUCUGUUAAUCCUGAUCUUCUUGCAAGAGCAUUCCAUACGGACAGGAAUAUAGUGAAUGAUCUUAUUAAGCAAGAAUGGGUCAACCCAUCUGAGCUUAGUGACAUUAUACAAGGAAAUAUGGAUUUCUAUCCUCAUCCAACUUGUUAAUUUAAGUUCUGGGAAAUGCAAAUAAGAAGAAGAGGAUGUGUAUUUAUAUAUAUGCAUAUCAUAUAUGCUUCAUGUUAUUGUAAUCAUUCAAUAAGUGUGAGGAUACUACCUCUAUGAUUACAAGGGCGGAGCAUGGAGAGACUCAGCCUCAGCAAUAAUUAUUUUUGUUCAAAAAAUUUACUUAAUAAAAAUAGUGCAUUUUAUUUUGUUUUUACUUGAUUUUGGAGUCUGGCUAAUCUUCUGAUUAUUAGCAGAAUUAAAUAUAUAUUGGAAUUACUAAUAAGGUAUUGGUUGAAUUGGUUAGCGACUUUAAUUCCGAUAAGGGUGGAAAUACAAGUUUGAUCCACGGAAAAUACAUUUUACUAGGAGAUCAAAAACCUUUUACAUUUUACAGCUGAAGGGGAUUAAACCUCUUGGUUAUACAAUAUUUAUUAUAUACUACAAUUAAUUAAUAUGAUAAAAUUAAAUCUCUUGUUUAGAUAUAAUAGCAAAAUAAAAGAGCGGAAUCCUCUCUUUAUUUUCCGUGAGUCUAUUUUUUAUUUUCUCCAAAUUAGACUAUUUAAAUUAGGUUGAUUCAAGAAAAAGCAAUAAAUUGUUAUUUUUGGUCCUUUCUUAUUUUUUCAAUUUCCUAAAUUAAAAAAAUUAAACAUAUAUAUUGGGAAUUUGUUUAGAAAAACUUGUAAUCGGAUAGAUGUAGAGGUCAAAUAAAACUGCAUGGAAUGGAAAAUUUUGCUCUGCUGUUUGCGGGAAUUAAGAAAGUUGUCGUUUGUAUAUUAUAGCUUGCGAAUCGGGGCUUCUAAUUAAGCUAAUUAAUUAAUAUUAAGUAAGAGCAAACUGACGUGAUCGAAUAGAUUCCGGUCUCCAAUUGAUCUUGCGUACUUGGAUUUAGUCUUAAAAUUCUAUAUAAUAUCACACAGUAUUCAAUUUCUUUUAGUCACAUGUGAUCUAAAUAAAAAUAAUAAUGUUUGAAAUAUUGUGCAAUUUACAUGGAUUUGUCUCUAUAAAUUAUAAUAUUUUGUUUAAUGUUAAAAUUUAUUUUUAAUAACUUGAGAGUUGAAAUGGGAUUGUAUUGAUAUUUUCUCUCUAAAAAUCAAUGAUCUUCAACUCGAACUCUGAAUUUAAAGUCAUUUUAAACAUCAGAAAGUAACUGCUUUGCUUCUUUUUAUGAACUUACUUGAUAAUUAAACAUUUCAAAACUUUUAAGUUUCAACAUUUUCAUAAGUUGGAUUGAAUCAUGGAUUUACUAGGUAAAUCUAUAGAUUUGACUAAAUGCCUUAACUUAUAUAUGUGUAUGUGUUAUAUUAAUUUAAUUUGAUUUAUAAUUUUAAAUAUAAAUACUAAAUUAUUUAUAUAUUUGGUAAUUCUUGCCUUUUUUAAUGCUCAUUCUUUCUUUAGCAUAAACUUGUUUUAAAAUGUUGCUAUUGUAACAUAUUUUAGUUUAAACUUAUUGUAUAUAUAAUUAUUUUAAUUUUGUUGGUUGUUUUUCUUAUUAGAAAAUUAAUUAAGUUAUAUGAUUAUCAUUAUUUAUUAUUACAAAAUUUAUUCUGAAAAUUUUGUUAGAAUAUAUUGUGGUUCAUAUAAAUUGUUGUAUAAUUAUGUUUUUAAGUAUAUUUAAUUUGUUGGUUAUUUCUCUUAAUAAAAUACUUAUAUUUUAUUUAAAACUGUUUUUCUUAUUUAUUUGAUCUACAGGUUUAUAUUGGACUCAUACCCAACUCAAUCUAUUUAUAACUCAUGGAUUCACGCAUUUGAUGGAUUGAAUUGGGUUAAAAAAAUCAUUAACCUAUACAUAUGGAUUUAGUACCUAAAUUUGAUCCACGUAAGGGUAUCAAAAUGAAUUAGCAUGUCAGGUUCGACAAUAAUCCUCCUAAUACGCAACACAAUUAGAGUUAAGUGUCAACACAAAUGCAAUCUAUUUAAUAAUUAUGUCAAAUAUUUAAAAAUGAAUAUGCCAUGAAAAGUAAAUAGUGAUGCAAAUAUAAUAUAUGUAACUCGUUUAAUAAAAUGGUUCAUAUAUGAGUCAAAUAAUUCAACCAAAUUUAGUUAAAUAGGUCGUAUACAGGUUAGAAACAAGACAGACAUAACCCGAUUAAUAUAUAUAUUGUAUAUGAAAUUAUUUUUUUUAUUUUUAAGUAAAUAAAUUAAACGAGUCAACUCAUGACAUGACUCAUUUAAAUUUAUAUUAUGUAUGAAUUACUGGUUUGUGAAAUCAACCUUUUUAAAUAUAACCCUAAUUUGUUUAAUUCUCGUGUCAUCAACAAUAUUGACAUCCAUGCACCCACGUAUUCCCUCGGGGAGGCGGGAAUAUUUUAACAUCUUGUAGGAAUAUUUUCUAAAAACGUGAAAUGUGAGUGAUAAUUGGAGACGUUAAAUGAAAACGUCCUAAAGUUAUAUUCUCUUAAAUCAUUAGAACGUGGCGAGCAUGUGGGAAUGGGCCGGGGAGCUUUUAUGCAUUCCAGAGCCAUUUGUUUCUAAGAAAUGACUUUUGAUUUGUAGCUAAAAAAAUCGUUUCUAAUUUUCAUUUUUCAUGUAGUGAAACUUGAUUCCUCUGUUGAUUAAUUUCCAUAAUUUUUUAGGGUGUUAUUUAUUUUCUGUUCAACACAUACGUAUUUAAACGGGUUUAGAUAAUUCUAAUCAGAUCCAAAAAGGAUUCGAGUAAUGUAAAUUUAUUUAAGCUUGGGUACUUUAUUUUAUAAACGAAUUAGGGUCGAAUAAGGCAAUUUUUGCAGGCAGCCGACCUAUUGUGUACCCCAAUUCCAAGCAUUUCAUGAAAAUGUGGGUACCUACUAUGCCACUAAUAUAGUUCCUUAUCCAUGGAGUGUGGGCAGCACACAUGGUGGUAGAUGGGAGAGGCAAGUCCAACAACUCCAAUUAAUUGUGGGACGCCUUUUGUAACCCUAACUCAUGAAUUGGAUUUUGAAUAAGUAAUUUCGAAACCCUUAAAAUUCAAUUUAAAGUUCGAAUUCAGAUACUUGGAUGUCUAAAAAAUAAUAAAUUUUUUUAUAUCUGAAUGAUUUUGAAUUUAGAUGGAAGGUGACAAAUAUUAAAAUAAAUUGAGUAUUUUUGUCAAAGAUAUGAUUUAUUAGUGAAAAUUUUUAUGAUCAGGUAUGACUUGAGUUCAGUUAGUUUAAUGAAACGAGUUGAUUUUAUUGAUUGAUUAGUAAUGGUCGAUAUAAAUGUGAUUUCGAGAGUUGUUAAUUAUGUACUCAUAAUAGUAUAAAUUGAUUUGAUAGAGAAGAUGAUAAUUGACCUUGGAGACAUAAAGAUGGGUUGGGGAAUGGGAUGUCUGUUGUGCAUCUUUUUUCUGGUUGAUAUGCUUGUUGAGUUUGUGGAGCCUAUUGAAGAUUGUGUUGUAUAUUAUUUAUCUUUUUGUCUGUAGGUAUAAAAUUAUAAUAGAAAAUUCUACUGAAAUUUUGGGUAUAAUUGUCUUAACUAUCACAAAUUAAAGUUCAAAACUUCAACUUUAUUUUUUCUUUACACAUGUAAGUGAUAAGCAUUAUCCAAUCUUUACCUGUAUUAUUAUGUUGGAGGAUCCCAUCCUUGUACUUGUUCAGGACAGGAUUAGGGUAUGAUUGUGGAAUCACUUAUUAGGGCAAAAGAAUUAUAAUGUUUCGUAAUGUUAUUGCAAAAUGGAGGUCGGUGAAUGAUCGUGUAGUCUCUUUAGGUUACACUAUUUAAAUAUAGCAUAGUUAAUUAGCUGGACAUAAUCUAUCCAAGCUACCAAAAGAGGUGAUAAUUGUAGGUUAAGAGAGUCACCGGCGAUGAGAGUUGCUCCCUAAAGUGAGGUUUCUGGCACCUAAUUCACAUCCUAUUAUUUGGUUUAUGAUUGUUGCUUGGAUGCCUUGUUUCAGCACUCAACCAAUGUGUAUACACUUUACAUGCUGCACUUUAGUAUGUAUUUUCAUCACUGUAGGCAUUGCGGCGAUCAAAUAAAGUUUUUCCUACAUAUAAUUACAAAGUCAAUUAAGAGUUUUCACAAAUAAAUUAGUUUACGCGUCGAUAGUUGCUAAUGUGUUAGUACAUGUAAGCAUAUAAUUACUUUCCUUUAAAAACUAUGUAGACUUAAUUCUUUCUUGUUAUAAUAAAUGAUAAGUUGUUCGAGACAAAUAAGUAAACAAUGAUAGAACUAAACGUUAAAACUAGGGAACAAAAAAUUUUCAAAAGUUAAAUGCUUGAUAAGCUUUUUCUUUUUUUUUUUUUUUUUUUUUUUUUUUUUAAAUUGAGCUAGGAGGGGCUAGGUGCCUAGACAUCCGAGUCCCGGUGACAAGAUUUAAACAACUUUCAAGAUUUUAUUUAGAUGUAAGGUAAAGUUUAUUGAAGUGAGCGAAAUUUAUUAAAGUUGCGUAAUGGUAACUACAUGUAUGAUCUGAUGAUAGAUUCAGUUUCGAAUCUCCUUAUAUAUAUAAAUUAGGUAAGGUGAUAAUAAAUUUUAUGCUACCAUGAAUUUUCAAAAUAAAGUAAGAGUAUUUAUAUAUAUUUGAAAGAAAGGACACAUUGUGUUGUUUAGUUUAAAGUUAUUAAAGAGUAAGGUUAAAUAUAAUACCAAAAUACUCAAAUCAUCAAUUUUGUUAUUUUUAUUAUAUAAAUUUUUAUGGAAUAAAAAGUAAUUAAUCAUCCCCAAUUUCUCAAAUUUAGUGGGCUAAAAACUUUUGAGUGGUUUUUGACCCAUUAGAUAACCAUAAAAAAAUCCUACUACUCAUUAAAACUUUCAUCUCGAACGAUCCAAUAAUUUAAUUUUUUAUCAUUGUUUAUAUGUCCAAUGACGUUAUUCUAAAUUGGGAAUAAUAUUAAUUCAAAUACGAAAGCUUAAUUAAGAUCCGACUUUUUUGAUAUAAUAUUAAAUUUUAUGCCUUAAAGAACCUGAAUUUUUUUUUAUAUUAGCAAAGAAGAAUUUUUAAUUAAGAAUUAAGUAGAAAUAAAUAUAUGUUCAGAUAAAACUCAGCGAUCCAAGUUACUACACCCAAGUCAUCAGGCUUUUCUCAAUGCACUCUAUCUUAUUUUGGAAAUUAAGUAAAACCUGAAUCCAUAUCCAAUACAUAGCCCAAAAUACAAGUGACAGAAAAAUCAAAUUGACUUGUAUUAGACUAGUGCAUCAAAAUUAAUAACUAAUGUUUGAUAAGUUGAGUACUCUAUUGGAUUUGAUAAAAUUUUCCUUGAUUUUAUAAUUUAAUAAAAUAAAAUAUGAAGUGUUGACAAAAAAAAUACUAACAAAUGUUUAUAUUAUUUUGUAAUAAUAUUUUAAUAAGAAUCCAUUUAUUAAUUGAUAUCAGUUGUUAAAGUUUUUUAGAACUGUGAUAAUUUGAAAAUUGUUUGAAAAAUUCAGGGCAAGCAAAAUUGAUUGGCCAUAAAUAAAUUAUAUCAAUACCAGAAUGUAGCUAUCUUGAAGCACAAAAAUUCAGAGUAUAGUUAUUUUCAAGGUCUCAUUUUCUUACAUUUUCAAACCUAAUUUUAGGAAUUAAUAAGGAACCAGUUAAAUAAAACAAGGCAAAUUUCUACAGAAAUUUCUGUAAGGAAAAAUUUAAUUGUAUCUCUUCAUUAUAAUUCAACAAACAAAAUCGAAAAUAAAUUCUAGAUAAAAAAUGUACUUUCAGUAAUCGGUAAUAAUGCUUGAAAGAUAAUAAAUAUUUUCGGUGCAAUAAUUGAAAUUUAAAAUUUUCCUUGUGUAUAAAUAGCCAUGCAUUCCAUGCAAGAUUUUGUCAUCUCUUACCAAACAAAUAUCAUAAUACACAAGAAUUCUAAUUGUCACUCCUAAGUAUAACGAAAAUGGCUAAUUUGCUGAUAGCUCUUGGUGUUUUGGCUAUGGCUUCCUCAUUUGCCAUUGCCUAUGAUCCUAGCCCUCUCCAAGAUUUCUGCGUCGCAACUGAUGAUUCUGCUUCCGGCGGUAUGUACAUUUUGCUUUUCCUUUAUUUUAAUUUCCUUUUCUAGGAUUUAGUAUUUCAUUUUCAGACAGUUAGUUUGUCUCCCAUCAACUUCAUUAUUGAUGAAUAAUGUUAUGUUAAAGUUUCAUAAAUAAAAAUAGACAUGGGUCAGGGUGAGCAAAAUUUGGCUACUUCAGAUGUAUAUUAUAUUACAUUUGCCCAUAAAAGACUUAUGAUCUGAAUUUUGGUUUUAAGAUCACCUAGUAAGAUAAUUUAGUUUUGGCUUGGAAGAUGAUCCUAUAUUAACAUUUUAAUUUUUUGGUGCUUUUAGUAUUCGUAAAUGGAAAAUUCUGCAAGGAUCCAGAAACGGUAACACCAGAUGACUUUUCUUAUACUGGAUUCAACAUUCCUAGAGAAACCUCACAACAGCUUGGAGUUCGCACAAAUCUCUUAACUGUGAACGACAUUCCUGGCCUUAACACAAAUGGUCUGUCCAUAGUUCGUAUUGACUUCACACCUGGAGGUGUAAAUCCACCUCACAACCAUCCUCGAGCUGCAGAAAUUAUCACUGUCUUGGAAGGAACUCUAUAUGCAGGUUUUAUCACUUCGAAUCCCGAUCACCGCCUUUUCGCCAAGGUUUUGAAGCCAGGGGAUGUUUUUGUAUUCCCAUUUGGGCUUAUUCACUUCCAAAUGAACAUUGGAAAAACCCCAGCAGUUGCUAUGGCUGCAUUGAACAGUCAGAAUCCAGGAGUAGUGACCUUAGCAAAUACAAUAUUUGGUGCAAUUCCAUCUGUUAAUCUUGAUCUUCUUGCAAGAGCAUUCCAUUCGGACAAGAAUAUAGUAGGUGAUCUUACAAAGCAAGAAUGGGUCAAUCCAUCUGACCUUAACAUCUAUUAAGAUUAUUGAUAUUAUGCAAGCAAAUAUAUAAUUUUUGCCCUCAUUUAAAUUGUUUAAUUUCAAUAACAUAUAAAGAAGAAGAUAAUAAGGGUGAGGAUGCUUAAUG